CAAAGAAAAAGGCAAACCCAUUCCGAAAGGUGGGGGCGCAAAACCACGGGUCUAAAGCGGAAACGCUAUGGCAGCCGGGUUGCCGUG
rnacentral:ncRNA from 1 species